GCCCCAUUAGAUUUGGGCUAUAAAAACUCCCUCCUGCCAGGCCCCCCUCUCUCUUGCUCUUUCUCUCUUGCUCUCUCUCUCUUGCUCUUUAUCUUUCUUACGCGCGCUCUCUGUCUCUCUCUUGCUCUUGCUCUCUCCCUGUUCAUCUCUUCUCUUUUCUCUCUCUCUCUUUCCUUCUUUCCUUUCUUUUUGUUGCACUGCUGCAAUAAAGAUCUUUUGGUUGCUCUGAGUGUUGUGGUCACUUUCCUUCAUUGGUGCCGAAACCCGGGAGAGGGUUAAAACCCACUUUUGGGUCCCUCUUCCUUCGGAAAUGCCACUCACUGGAUGGCCUGAACCCAGGCCUGAACCCAUUUUCUCGACUGCCAGAACUCCAUCCACCACCAGCCUUCGAUUGGUGAGUUUCCCCUUCCUGGAGUCCUAAACCCAAUGGUGGUGUCAGGAGGAUUCCCCACCUGCGGGGAGGAAAACACCCCACCACAGCCUUUAAGGCUACGGUGGCCCUCAGGGACUCCUUCCUAGGGCAGAAUAGACUCCUGGGUUCAAAAUUAUUCCCUUCCCUUCCCAGCUGUUAGUUACCAGCGUAGGCUUUGUAGGUCUCCCUCGAAGGACUGUGUAACCUCUGGGGACACAUAACAGAGAACUGAACAUCACAGUCCACCCAGACCUUCACCAUCUUGGUGGCUCUCCUAAAAUCCUAGUCCUCAGACACUUACCCUCCCCUUCCUCUCUCUUCCCCUGUCUCUCUCUUUCCCCUCUUUCCGGCUCUGCAAGUCUCCAGCCUCUCCAGGAGGGGUCCUGAAAAGAAAAGCCUUGGCCAAGGUCUCCCACGGCUCUGGCUCUGUCCAGGACGAGAGCUUCGACUGUCAGGAUUCGGUGACGACCAAUCUCUGCAGCUCGAACCUGCCACUAAGGCACUCCUGAUUUUUGGCUCUAGCGGGGACGCCCCUUUUGCCAAUAAAUCAGUUUCCUCCUUCUCUCUUAUACUACGGUUGCGUCUCCUUCCUUCUCCUCUAUACCAAGUUUGCAUCCCCUUCCCUCCUCCUUAUACUACUUUGCGACAUGGGUAAUGUGUCCUCUCUGCCGGUCGACUCUCCCCUACAAUGCCUCUUGGAUAACCUCAAAACCCUCUCCUUGACACCAGACAUCAAACCCCCAAAAUUGAUCAAAUAUAGCACCCAGGCCUGGCCCACUUAUCCCUUAGACAACCAAAGCAGAUGGCCCUCCUUUUGGGUCCCUGGAUCCCUCCAUUCUAAGGGAUCUCUACAAUUACUGUGAGCAUUCGAAAAAAUGGGUAAAAAGCUGCUAUAUCAAAGCUUUCUUCUUGCUUGUGCUCUCUGCACCUCUUGCAGACCUCUGCAAAUUCUUCUAGCUUGCAAACCAACACCCACAACCACUGAUCCCCAAUCUCCUCCUCCUCCAGACUCAUCCACUACUUUUGACCCUACUGAUAAAUUUCCACCCUAUCGCCCGGCUCAAAUAGGUCCUCACCCUCAACCUUCUGCCCCAGCCCCUCCACUGUCUCCCCCACCUGAACAACCUGACUUCUCCUCUCCACUCACUAGAUCAAAAACCUAAACAACCGUCUUUCCUCAAAACAUUGCCUCUUUUCUGAGGUAGCAAGUACUGAAGGAAUCCCUCUACCCACUCACUCCUCUCUUCUCCUGUCAGUGCCCACACCGGGUCCCACCAGGUCCUCUUACCAGCUAACCCAAAGCUCAAACCAGCUGAGGAGAGCCCUUGGACCCCUAUCAGAGAUCUGGUGAAAAUGGCCUUUAAAGUUGGUUUGUCAUCACUGAAAACAGGUUACUAAGAAUUGUCCCUUACAGGCUUUUUGGGAUAUUCACUCCCAUCCUCCCCUCUGCUCUACCUGUUCUACUGCUCAAGUUUUCCUUGCUAGGGAAAAUCCUAUUCUUUUACAUCACUCCUUCCUCAUUCUCAGAUCCACAGCUGCUCUCAGCCCCACCUUCCUGUCUUCCCCUCCCUACCAGGCCCACAGAAAAGGCUUAACUGACCUUCUCCAGAAAUCUUCACCAUGGCUGAUUUUAGGACUUUCAGCAAAAGAAUCUCUACAAAAAGUUCAAUGUAGAUAAACUUCCUAUUUUCCUGUUGCCCUGUUUUACUUGGUCACUGGCUGGAAAAAUCAGCACUCCAGGCGCUGGACACCCCCUUACUAGUUUUUCACAAAAUAUGUAAAACAAGGCCACUGGCUUUGAGCUGGGGCUUCACAGAGAAGGCUACAUGUCUAAGAUAAGGAGGUUACCAACUGGGCUCCAUGAUAACAGCUGGCAGGGGUGGGGAGGGUGGGGGGAAGAGGAGAGAAAGGGAAGAAAAAGCUCUCCCCCUCCCAAGUGUCCUUGAAGGGUUAACUUGCCCAGAACAGAGGGAAAAAAAACCCCUGCUUUUUGUGAACUUCUGCAGACUGCGAACUUCUGAGCCCCUUCCCUUACAUGUUGGGUACAAAAUUCUGAAACAACCUAAACUUGGGGUUCAGGGGAUUAAUUGAUUACAGCAGAAGAUGUGCCCUCUAAAUCUGGCUGCAACCAAAUAAAACUAUUUCCCUAUCUUUAGUGCUAUCUUAGGUGCCUUGCCUUGUCUGUUCCUACAACAGUAUAAUUCUAUAUACUUAAACAUUGUUCAUGUUUUCAUGAAAUGGUCAACAGUUGUGAUUAAUUGUGUGCUGCAAAUAACAAAGUAUCUCUUAUUAAAAUGGAAUAAUUUGCCUAAAUUCAGAAAUUUACAAGGAUUAUUUAAAAAUGUAAAAAAAGAAAGCGUUAACAAAUAGGAAAGAGAAAUUAGAAGGCUCUAGGUAUGGAUUUAAUAGAAGGAAAAUGUAUUUCUGGAUAAGAGAGUCUAUUAAGUAAAUAAGAGGGUUUAAGUAAGUGCUAAAGAAGGUCUGUAUAUACAACUAUGGUUAAACAACAACUGUUAUUUUGCAAUAUUGUAGUAUGUUAUUUCUUUAAAAGCUAAACUUGAUCAAUAUAAAAACAUCAGUAGUAAUUGUGGUACUAUUACUCUUCUUUGUAUAUUAAAUGUGUUCAUAUUUUCCAGGUAUAUGUCAUUAAGAUAGAAGCUUUAAAAUAUAUAUAUAUAUAUCAAGCUGGUGUUCUCCAAAAGGUUGCAUGGUUAUUUUAGGCUUAUAAAAAUAACAUAUCAGAGAUUUAUUUAUAUCAUUUAAUGUUUUAUAACUGGACCUGUCAUCAAUAAGAUUAAUAUAAAGUUCUAUACACUGGGUACAAUUUAAAUGUAAUAUACUCUAUUACCUAGUAUUCAUGUGACAUCAAGCAACAAUAUAUGUAAAUUUUAUAAAAUAAUAUUAAAAAAAAAAGAUCAGCUUCAAUACUAGAACACUUUACCUAAGAUUUAUAAAGAGCCCUGGCUUACCUGGGAUAAGGCUGUGCUUCCCAUCUUACUACAUGUCAGAAUGACUCCAAAGUAGGCCAGACUUCAGCUAAAGCCCAAUACUCUUAAUUUAGGGUGAAACUGACUUUGCUGGAUGUUUAUGAUCAAGAUUAAAGUUAAACUAAAAUGGCCAAGAAAACCAAUAUUUGGCUCUGGCCCUCUGAGACAGUCUGAAUCCAGGGAACAGGGAACUUCUCUAAAGAGCUUUGCAACUUUGGGCCUCAUAACCUCCUGAUCAGGGAGAUUAUUGAGACCACUGGAGAAUGAAAAGCCAAUCAGUGCACUUGCUGUGAAUAGGAGGGUCAUUGGAGACAGGAGACAUCCCUGAUGCUUCCAAGGGAAGCCACAUGGUCAAACAAGACCUGGACCCAUCCUAGCACAAAUGGCACUAGCAGAACUAAGAAGCUGCUCUCAAGUUCCCCCACGAGUGACCCCUAUGGGAACUUGGCUGACUCUUAACAAUAAAUAGAAACAAAGUCAAUUUUGACCAACUUGAUCUUAAACACCUACCAAAACCAGUUAAGCCAAAACCAGUCAUUCCUGGGAGUAAUGAAGGACAAGAACAGCUAGAAAAGAGGAGACAGCAACUAAGCCAACAGGCUCCAUGGGGAAUGUUCAGUCAAGUAUGGCCUUGGCUCCUCCCCCUCACAGGACCCCUAUUAGUCCUCUCUAUGUUUCUCCUAAUAGAACCAUGUCUAUUAAAUUGCCUACAGAAGUUCAUGCAAGAUCAGAUACACAAAUUCACCAGCAAGCUGGUCAAUCAACUACUUCUUUAAGACUACCAGCCCUGAUGCCCAAGAUGGACACCUACGACUCAUGACCAACUCCUCUGGCUCCAGAGACUCUGUGCCCAUCUAAAACCCUCUCUAACCCUUUUUCCAAUUUUCACAACCCCUCUUUCACUUCCUAGGAAUGAGAACUACUCUCCAGCACGUCCACUCUGCUUAUUCUGUCUGCUCUACAGUAUCCCCACAAGGAAGCAUCAAACCUAAACUCCCCCUGGUACCACCAUGUCUCCCACCUUAAAAAGGCACUUGUUCCAAAUGUCCAGUCCUGGACUUCCACCAUGCCCACCAAACUCAAAAUUUCUUGCCAACCCUCUUCUUCUUUUACUAAACAUUAUUCUCUCUCAAGUUUUUAUCUCAAACCACAAGCGACAUGACACCACCCACUCUCAGUUUAUGGGUUAAGGCGAUUGCCCUUCCACUGGCUGCAAUCAGGCUGUCACUCUUAACAUUACUGGAUUCAACCAAGCCACCUCCAAUACUUCCUAGAGUCCCUGCUACAGGACAAGUGGCCGAUACCAAGAAUCUCCUCCAUCCAGGACUGGUUUGAUGCCAUCGAGGACUUGUGGCUUCAAGGAACUUUUAUGGACUUUACCCCUACCACAGUAGUUGUCUGUAGCCACUGAGUGUUAUUUCUGCUCUGGUGUUCUCAGACCUGUCCCCCGAACAUUCCUCCACUUCCCCUUCUAGGUCCAACGCCGUCCCCCAUGUCACUUAGAAAACCAAAAAGGGAGGAAUGUUGGGUGCAGAGCAGGCUGAACUGUGUUGUCUGCAGGGCAGGCUGAACAGAUGUUGGCUGCAAGAUAGCCCACGCACUCAAACCCCCCUCUAUCUGGUCCUUUAUCACCUGUUUGCCUCAAGUCUGAACAUUCAACCCUGCUCAAGGCUGAACACUUAACCCCCCCUUGGGCCAACAAGGCAGCAUGCAGACUCAGAGGCCCCAUUAGAUUUGGGCUAUAAAAACCUCCCUCCUGCCAGGCCCCCCUCUCUCUUGCUCUUUCUCUCUUGCUCUCUCUCUCUUGCUCUUUAUCUUUCUUACGCGCGCUCUCUGUCUCUCUCUUGCUCUUGCUCUCUCCCUGUUCAUCUCUUCUCUUUUCUCUCUCUCUCUUUCCUUCUUUCCUUUCUCUUUUUUGCACUGCUGCAAUAAAGAUCUUUUGGUUGCUCUGA
rnacentral:lncRNA from 1 species